rnacentral:misc_RNA from 1 species
GGAGUAAUCUUCUCCUUAAAUUAUGGAAAAUCUCAUUAAUUCUAGCAGCGUGAAAACCAGCAUAAAAAUAUAAAUAUAAUAAAAAUAUAAAUAUAAUUAACACCAAAGGAUUAUAGUAUGUCAAUAUUUUGGCCUUGCACUAGUACCUGAAGAAAUCCUUCAUAAAAAUAAUUUCCCUACUAAAAGCACAAUGUGAUAACGACAAUCUGUUCCUAUAUAUUUCUUGCCCCUAAAUUCUGUAGUUCCAACAGCAAUAAUUAACAAGGAAUGUGAACCAUAG